rnacentral:rRNA from 1 species
GACGAACGCUGGCGGCGUGCCUAAUACAUGCAAGUCGAACGCUGAGGGCGGAUCUUCCUUCUCUGGAUGAGUUGCGCACGUGUGAGUAACGUGUGUGUAACCUGCCUGGUAUCGCGGGAAAACUGUUGGAAACGAUAGCUAAUACCGCAAAUUAGUGGAUGUCCCAUGACAUUUUCUUUAAAGGUGCAAUUGCAUCACUACCAGAUGGACCUGCGUUGUAUUCGCUAGAUGUUGUGGUAACGGGUCACCCAGGCAACGAGACAUACCCGACCGCAGACGGGGAACGGCCGACCUGGGACUGUGACACGGCCCAGACUCCUGCGGGAGGCAGGAGGAGGGAAUGUGCGGCAAGGGACGGAAGGCGGAACGAGGAACGCCGCGUGAGUGAAGAAGGGUUUCGGAUCGUAAGGCGCUGUUGUAAGAGGAGAACGAGGGAGAGAGUGGAAAGUUCACGCUGUGACGGUAUCUGACCAGAAAGGGACGGCUAACUACGUG